UUGGAAGUUUUGCAAUCAUCACUGACAUUUGAAGCUCAAGAAUAUUGAAGAACAUCUGUGUUGUGCGGAUUCAAGAUUAAAGACUAUGUCAACAUUCAGCUUGGGGGAAAGCAAUCCCAUUAUCUUCGCGAUUCAGGCUUGAAGUAAAAGAGUGAAGAAUAACAACAAGGAAAAUUUUCAAUAUCGAAUUGAGAUGUCCUGAGAUAAAUUCAGAAUGGAGAUAAAGAGGGAGACACAUGAAGUUUAACAAUUAGCACAAGAAAGACAUAGCUCGUCCAUCAUAGAGAGAUAAUCCAUGGAACGAGACGAAGAGUGCCACGAACAAGAUGCACAACCAUUGAGAAAGAAAAGCUUCCACAAGGUGAUAUUGUACCAUCACACUUCACUUAAGGUAAUAUCUUAAGGUAUGUGACUGUCACUGUUAUAAGCUUCUCCUUGAUUUUGGCAUGCACAUGGAUAAAAAGACAAACAUGUAUGAUUUAUAACUCCAAAUUAACCAACCCAAUUGAUUCAACAUGUUUAGUCCUUUAAUCUUUGUUCCCGGUACUACCUUCUUGAUCCCACACUCUUAACCAUAUGAGCUAAAAUGUUGCACAUCCGAUCUUUGGAAAAUGAUAGUCAUGUAAAGAAAAAAACAUUUACUUAUAUAGAUUAUCUUUCCAAAAGGUUGAGUGAUCUGAUCUGACAAAUGUUUUAAAUGCUACACUCAUGAUCUUAUCAUCCAUCAACUUUGUCUUGCUCACUAUGCUUAAGGUUAGAGAAUAACAAAUACACUUUUGGUUCUGUUGGUGUUUCCCACCAACAGGGCCCAUGCACUUGAUCUCUGCCUUGUCUCUAUGAGCAGGAUACACUUCGAGCAAAACAUGGAGGAGUUUUCCAACUUCCAGACUCUACCAAGUGAAGGAUCUUGAUCUACGAGCACAAACACACUAAGGAGGCUUCCAAUGCCGCACUUCGAACUGCUGGGCAAACGAAAAACAUGGGUGACACCGUAUAAGGAGGUGCAGAUGUCAAGGUCCACACCUAACUCAAAUGAUGCACCUAAAGAAUAAACACGGUGAGAAGUCUUGUUUAGAAGACUUAAAACAUUGAACCCUCGCCGAAAGGUAAAAUCAGUAGGGAUCCAUAUUUAUCCUUUCUGCAUUCUUUUUUUCUUAAAUUAUUUACUUUCCUUAAAUAGCUUGUUAGUUAAUCAUGCUAUCUUGAAAAGUAAAUAAAAAUAUUAAAAACAGUAUGCCCCAUGUGAGUAUGCUCGUGGCAUAAAACCCAUUCACUGUGGUGGCGUAAAAAUAAAAAUAAAUAUAUUCUUGUCCUGUAAAAAUGAAAAUAUAAAAAUAAAUUUAUGAUCCAACUAAAGAGAGUAAUAUUUAUUAGAGGAAGCUCAACAUGAUAUAGGCUAAGAGAUUUUAUGCUAACACUUAACCAGAUCCACAAAGCUUUGUUGUCUAUUUGAGCUCCACACAAUUCAAGGAUCAAGGAAGACUAGCGGACGGAGGAUAUCCUAAUCGCUAUCAGGGUGCUGCCAAUAUUCAAAUACACCUAUGCCACCUGCUAGCUACAUCAGAAGAAAUUACGUUAAAAUCUAGCUUGGGGGAGAGCACCCCCAUUUAUCCAGUUAAUUGUUUCUACUCACAUUUAUACUUUACUCAAAUAAUAAAAAAAUGCAUAAUCAUAAAAACUCAAUUCAACACUUUGUGCUUAUAUAUAUCUUUGCUUAGUUUGCUAAAUAAAUAAAUAAAGUGUCUAUGCCAAACUGAACUUCAAUGAUAAACUCUUACAUGGAUAUGAUUUACAGUUGCUCUGCCAAGUACCUAGUUUUCAAAUUUGAGCUCUCUCUCAAGUUUAGGCAUAACUGUUAUCAUUUAUUGCUUGCUCUAGACCUAAAUUCGCGGGAAGAGUACCUGAUCAAAAGUGUAAGUCAUUAAUAGAUAUGAUAUGGGAAGGUUGAGCUGCUGUUUAUAUGUUCCUAGAGAUGCUAGAAUUCUAGAGAAUUUUAUUUUCAAAAAUCUUUAAAAUGUUGUAUGAUGAGUUCCUAUAUGAUGAGAGUUUAAAAUCCUACUAGAGCCAUAUAUACAAGCUUAUUAGACUAUGAACCAUACAUUUACUUUUUACCGCUUAUGAGCAUUGAGUGUGGUCAAGCUGUGUAGACCCUUAGGAGCUUGUCAUACGGUUAAAAUAAAGAUUCACUUGCACGUUCACUCAUACAUGCUGCUUCUACUCUAGAAGUACGCAUCCACAUACAUCCACUCAUUUCCAUAUCCAGAUUCACCCCAAAAUUAUUCUACUCCUAUCUAGGAGAGAAUAGCCAAAAACAUUAUCCUGUCCCUGUUAUUCCCCGUGAAAUAAAUGCUCGAGAUAUUUUGGUUACUACCACUUGCUACAUUAUUCCACGAGGGUGAGUGCUCUAAAAAAAAGUGAAUACGAGGAAAUAAAAAGGGGCAAGUGCCCGAAACCUCAAAGAAAAGAAGAAAAAAAAAAGAAAAGAAAAUGUGAGAUGAGAGGUAAAAAUGGACAAGUGUCCGGCAAUAAAAGUAGGGGUACAAGAUACCCACCUAAGAGAAAAGAAAAAUAAAAUAUAGAGCGUCUCAUUCCCCUCAAAAGCCUCAAGUGCAAGAAAGGUAUGUACCCCCUCAAAAGAGCAAAAGUAGAAUUAGACUUUCACCAUUAUUUUCACCAUUAUCACCAUUCAUUCGCCACACAUGCAUAUCUUGAUUUGACUUAUUGACUUGUUCUUCUGGAUCCAUGGUUUGACUACGCAAUAAGUGCCUUGUAAGUAUGUAUUAGCUGUCUCCCACCUAUGAGCUCUAGAUAUCAAAACCUUAUUAGAGUAGGGUGAGAGAGAAGGCAAUACCACUAUACCUCAUACCAAAAAUACCACAUACUUUGAGAGAAGGCAUACACCAUUACUGCCUUUGUAAGGAUCUAGAAAUACCACAAAAGAGAGACUAAAGAGAGUCAUACAAGGAAUCUCUGAGUUUUAUUUGAAAAUCUACAAAAAAAUAUAGAGCUAUAGUUAAUCGAAGAACAAGAGACAUGGUGCUUAACUAGACCGUUCUAUCUUUUAGCUGCUCAAGACAUAAGUGACGGUUGCAAGCCCCAUCGUGGAAGGUAAAAUGAGUAAGUUUAAAUCUUAACAGUUUACCCUAACCCAGAGAUGAGAUCUUGUUUGAACGCAUGUAUACCUUUAAGGCAUGAAACCACUGCAGAAACAAUUGAGUCCAUCUUUGCUCAGGGACGAGCAAAGGUUAAGCUUGGGGGAGCUUGUUGACGGUCCUUAAUGCUCACAUUUAACUGUCAACUAAUCAUGAAAAAGGAUCCAAAUGCAACCGACACCUGAACUUAGGGUUUCAUCUAACAGAUUUCCACGAGUUUUGGUUUUGUAUAUUUCUACAGGAGGUUAUCAGGAAAUACGAAGGAAAGGCCCACACGUUGGGUUUACAUAGAGAAUUAAUGUGUGCGGUAAUUUUCCAUAAUCAGGAAGACUCUAGAAGCAACUCGACCGAAGCGGAGCCGAGACGAGCCCGAGGCCAGGGUGCCCGCCCUUGAUCCUAGGGCGCCCACCCUGGUACAAGCACCAAUCACAGAAUGGAGUACACCAUUACAAAGAUCUCGUCGAGCUGAUCGAAAUGCAUAUAUUAUUUGCUAUAUUUGGAGUUCAGAAUCAAGAGAUAUUAAUAAAAGAAGGACUCCACAUAAAAGAGUUGUGGGAUUAAUUGGGCGCAAAUCAGAUUUUGGUCCAUUAAGGCCUAUGUGCAUUUUAAUAAUAUAUGUUGGAAAGUUUAGUACCACAUCGCUUGCUGAACCAAAAAGGCACAAAGGAGGAGGCUAUAUAAGCAAGGCCCCUAGCCCCUAGAGGAGAACACAUCAUUAUAGAGUUGAGAAGUGCCCUCUGUUGACGGUCCUUAAGUACCAAAUAUAAUAAUCAAAUAAAUAAAGAAAAGGAUCCAAAUGCAACCAAUACCCAGACUUAGGGUUUUAUCUGACAGAAUUCCACAAGUUUUGGUGUUUGUCUAUUUCUGUACGGGGUUAUCAGGAAAUAUGGAGGAAAGGCCC
rnacentral:lncRNA from 1 species